GGCAUCUCCGUGAAGGAGACCCCAAAGGAUCUCCGGCUUCUGCCGCCGGCUCGGGAGGCCGUGUAGCCGGGUCUCUUAAGCGCGGGUUUCCGAAGGCCCUAAGUCCGGCGACCGGGGAGCUCCUGGAGGGCUGCUGCUAAAACCCGGAGAGGCCAUGGCCGAGAAAGCCACGUUAGCCGUCCCUUCGAUGCGACUGGCCCAGCCGCAAUUCGGCACUGAGCCGAGGUUGGGCCAGCCCAGCCGAGAGCCGCCCCAACCCGUCUGGAAGACCAGGGACGCGGCGUCAGCGCCCCGCACGCCGCGGAGAGCGGAGCGCGCCGGGGCUCUAGCGCCCAGCCGGCCGAGCGGAUUCCCGCUCCUCUCGGCCCCGCCUCCGGCCCUGGCCUCUUCCUCCGGCCGGGGUCGGGGUUCCACUCCACUGUUUGGCUGCGAGAGGACGGAGACGCGCUCAGCGCGCAGGGGGCCGGUUGCGGCCAUAAAUCUCCGGGCGGGCCCUCCUUCCAGCUGCUCACGCACGGGUGCUCCGGGCCCGCCUCGCGUCCCGGGCCGCGCCAGGCGCCCUGCUCUCCCCGUCACGGCCUGGAAGGCCCGAGACUGCGCAGGGGAUCAAGCAGGAGCUUCUCCGUUUGCCAAAGAGAGGGAACACCGUGGCCCACUCGGUGCCACCACCAUCCAUCCCGGCUGGCGCCGGACCCCGAAGUGGCCGGGCCUCACAGGACCACCGCCUUGGGGGUCUCCAUUUCUUCCCCUUGCUGCUGCUGGCCUCCACGAUUGCUUAAACAAAUGUGACAGAAGUGACGAUGAAUCAGGUCUGGGCCAGGCCUUCAAAAAAAUGGCAGCUUCUGCUUUUUGUGCCUUGGGACUCACAGUUGUGGAACCUGGCCACCAUGCUGCAAGGAAGUCCAAGCAGUCUGAGGAGGCCAGUAGCCCUGGAUGGGCCCAGCUGACAACCUGCACCCACAUGCCAGCUGUUAGUGAGCCAUCUUGGAAGUGGAUCCCCUAGCCCUUGUCAUCACACCCCAGCUGCCACCGUGGGAAGCAGAGGUGAGCUAUCCCUGCUGAAAUUUGCCCAAAUCCAGAUUCACAAGCAAAAUAAAUGACUGUUGUUGUUUUAAGCCACUAGUAUUGGGGUGGUUUGUUAUACAGAAACAGAAAACUAAAAUGUGGGUUUUGACUGAAAAGGGUAUCUGAGGGUAUGCAUCCAACAGGCAGCCUGAAGUCCAGCCUCACACAUUCCCAAGCUGCCCAUGUGGGGACCACAGCAACAGGACACUGAUCAAUGGUUAAUAAGUUCUCAGGGUGAAUGGGACUUGGUGGGGGGAGUGCUGAUUUGUAGCAUCUGCCAAUAUCCAUGGUGUACAUCCAGCUUCAAGUUACCAACCUGACGACACAGAAUGCAGAGUUGAGAUGUAUAGUAGCUCACCCUUAUCUGGCAUUUGCACCAUAGAUGGCUGCAGCACCCAGCAAAGUCAGUUGUGACUGCAUGAGUGACCCCAGGCGAAAACCGCCCAGCUGAGCUCAUCCUGAUUUCCUACCAGCAAAAUUGUAAGCAAAAUAAGAGGAUGGUUCUAAACUGCUAUGUUUUAUAGCAAUUUGUUGCACAGCACUAGUAACUAGAGCAGCCAAUGAGACCAGUGGGGGAUAAUGCUUUUCAAACAAGUGGAGGGCCACCAGGCUGGGCCAGAGCACCUUUCACCUACCCCAGCUGGAGAAUCCAUGCCAGUCUGAUGCACUCCCACCCUGCCAGCUUCCUGGAAAGAAAGCCAGUGAUAAGGCUGACAGCCCCUGGAAGGGUCUCUCAUGGGUCCCUUCAGGCUUUGGAGCUUGGGCGACAUGUGGGAAAGUCACACACCUCUGGGCUCUCAGCACUACAUGGACUCCUACUGCACCAAUUCCUACCAGUCCCCACGACAUCUCAGACACAGGGUAGAGGGGCCAAGACAGGGCUGGCCAGGGCCCUGGUUUAAAAUAGCAGCCACCAAACCUUUGUUUUGUCUGCAGUGCAGCCCUGCCUGCCUGGCUCCUCUCUGGCUGCUUUGAUGUUGGUAUUUAACCUCCUACUGGGAAUCUAAGCCUUCCUAAGCACAUCAGAGACCCACAGACACAUGCACACUCACACACACACAUGCACACACACAAACUCAUGCCCACCUGCUUCCCUGAGAAGCCAGGGAAGGUUGCCCAGGCUACAACAUCAUCCUCACCUCUGCCUACACCCCCACCCCCCCGCAUCUGUGUCAGUGUCCUGGGGCUGCCCUACCAAAGCAUUACACCCUGGGCGACUUAAAACAACAGAAAUUUACUGUCUCACAGCUCUGGAGGCCAGAAACCCGAGAUCAAGGUGUUGGCAGGGCUGAGUCCCUCUGAGGCUCUGGGUAGACUCCUUCCUUGCCUCUUCCCAGUGUCUUGUGGUGGUCGCCCAGCCUUGGCGUUCCCUGGCUUGUACCUGCAUCACGUCUUAUGCCAUUUUGGCCAUGUGGCCACCUUCCCUACACGUCUGUCUUUUCCUCUUCUUCUAAGACCCCCAGUCAUAUUGGAUUAGGGCUUACCCUAAUGUGGUCUUAUUAACUUGAUCACAUCUGCAAAGACCCUAUUUCCAAAUAAGGUCACAAUCACAGGAACUGGGAGUUAGGAUUGCAGCAUAUGUUUUGGGGGGACACAGUUCAACCCACAACAGCACCCUUCAGGUCGGGGUUCAGGCUCCUCCAUGAAUGCCUCCUGUGGUCUCUCACGCCCCUCCCAUACAUAUGGCCCAGUCUGUCUCUGCAUCCGGUGCCAGGUGGUACCUGGAAGUGCACCUUGGGGUGGGAGGGUAGAGGUCUCAGGCACACAGGUGAGUGCAGCUGCCACAUGCAGGAAGGACCAAGGAUGCUCCUUCACAAAAUGACCCCCAGACUCCACCUACGACAGGCAGCACCUGAGGUCCAAGCCAACCAAAGGAUAAAAUAUUAAAAUUUUCCCACAACAGGCUGGGCACAGUGGCUCACGCUUAUAAUCCUAGCAUUGGAAG